UACGGGGGGAGCAAGCGUUGUUCGGAUUUACUGGGCGUAAAGGGCGCGUAGGCGGCCAUCUAAGUCAGACGUGAAAUCCCCCGGCUUAACCUGGGAACUGCGUCUGAUACUGGACGGCUCGAGUAUGGGAGAGGGAUGUAGAAUUCCAGGUGUAGCGGUGAAAUGCGUAGAUAUCUGGAGGAAUACCGGUGGCGAAGGCGGCAUCCUGGACCAUUUACUGACGCUGAGGCGCGAAAGCUAGGGGAGCAAACGGG
rnacentral:rRNA from 1 species